UACCAGCACCCCGAGUGGUCGGGACGAUUAUUGGGCCUAAAGCAUCCGUAGCCGGUUCUGCAAGUCCCCCGUUAAAUCCAGCUGCUCAACAGAUGGGCCGCGGAGGAUACUACAAGGCUAGGAGGCGGAAGAGGCAAGCGGUACUCAGUGGGUAGGGGUAAAAUCCUCUGAUCCAUUGAAGACCACCAGUGGCGAAGGCGGCUUGCCAAUACGCGCUCGACGGUGAGGGAUGAAAGCUGGGGGAGCAAACCGG
rnacentral:rRNA from 1 species